rnacentral:rRNA from 1 species
ACUCCUACGGGAGGCAGCAGCAGGAAUAUUGCACAAUGGGCGAAAGCCUGAUGCAGCGACACCGCGUGCGGGAUGACGGCCUUCGGGUUGUAAACCGCUUUCAGGAGGGAAGAAAAUGACGGUACCUCCAGAAGAAGCUCCGGCCAACUACGUGCCAGCAGCCGCGGUAAUACGUAGGGAGCAAACGUUGUCCGGAUUUAUUGGGCGUAAAGGGCUCGUAGGCGGUUCAACAAGUCGGUCGUGAAAGCCCGGGGCUCAACCCGGAUCGGCGGCUGCGAAACUGUUGUGACUUGAGUUCGGUAGAGGUGAGUGGAAUUCUCAGUGUAGCGGUGGAAUGCGCAGAUAUUGAGAGGAACACCAUUAGCGAAGGCGGCUCACUGGGCCGAUACUGACGCUGAGGAGCGAAAGCGUGGGGAGCAAACAGGAUUAGAUACCCUGGUAGGCUCUGC